rnacentral:rRNA from 1 species
CCUACGGGGGGCAGCAGUGGGGAAUAUUGCACAAUGGGGGAAACCCUGAUGCAGCAACGCCGCGUGAGCGAUGAAGGCCUUCGGGUCGUCAAGCUCUGUCCUAAGGGGAGAAUACUGCCGGUACCUUAGGAGGAAGCCCCGGCUAACUACGUGCCAGAAGACGCGGUAAUACGUAGGGGGCUAGCGUUGUACGCACAUACUGGGCGUAAAGGGUGGGUAGGCGGACCUUGAAGUGAGAGUUGAAAGGCUACGGCCGAACCGUAGUAAGUCUUUGAAACUGUUGGGCAUGCGUGCAGGCGUGGAGAGUGGAAUUCGCAGUGUAGCUGGGACCUGGGUAGAUAUUGGGAGGAACACCGGUUGCGAAGCCGGCUCUCUGCACUGUAACUGGCGCUGGGGGACGAAAGUGUGGGGCGCGAACAGGAUUAGAUACCCGAGUAGUC